rnacentral:rRNA from 1 species
GCGGAACGAUGGUAGCUUGCUACCAGGCGUCGAGCGGCGGACGGGUGAGUAAUACUUAGGAAUCUACCUAGUAGUGGGGGAUAGCACGGGGAAACUCGUAUUAAUACCGCAUACGUCCUACGGGAGAAAGGGGGCAACUUGUUGCUCUCGCUAUUAGAUGAGCCUAAGUCGGAUUAGCUAGAUGGUGGGGUAAAGGCCUACCAUGGCGACGAUCUGUAGCUGGUCUGAGAGGAUGAUCAGCCACACCGGGACUGAGACACGGCCCGGACUCCUACGGGAGGCAGCAGUGGGGAAUAUUGGACAAUGGGGGAAACCCUGAUCCAGCCAUGCCGCGUGUGUGAAGAAGGCCUUUUGGUUGUAAAGCACUUUAAGCAGUGAAGAAGACCUAACGGUUAAUACCCGUUAGCGAUGACAUUAGCUGCAGAAUAAGCACCGGCUAACUCUGUGCCAGCAGCCGCGGUAAUACAGAGGGUGCAAGCGUUAAUCGGAAUUACUGGGCGUAAAGCGAGCGUAGGUGGCUUGAUAAGUCAGAUGUGAAAUCCCCGGGCUUAACCUGGGAACUGCAUCUGAAACUGUUAGGCUAGAGUAGGUGAGAGGGAAGUAGAAUUUCAGGUGUAGCGGUGAAAUGCGUAGAGAUCUGAAGGAAUACCGAUGGCGAAGGCAGCUUCCUGGCAUCAUACUGACACUGAGGCUCGAAAGCGUGGGUAGCAAACAGGAUUAGAUACCCUGGUAGUCCACGCCGUAAACGAUGUCUACUAGUCGUUGGGUCCCUUGAGGACUUAGUGACGCAGCUAACGCAAUAAGUAGACCGCCUGGGGAGUACGGCCGCAAGGUUAAAACUCAAAUGAAUUGACGGG